GGAUGUAUAAGUACGAAGUCACGUUCGGUCAGAAUAUAGGUAAUACAUUGUUAUUUUCAAUGCAAGCUUUUGAUCUCGCUAAUCAGAGGGCUGAAGCUUGAUACAUUCUCCUUCAGUACAAAUAUCAUCAGUAUAUUUUUGAUAGAUUUGAAUGCCUAGUAGUUGACUUGGAAUACUUGGCUACCUCCACCACUAUACAUAACACGUCAGAAC
rnacentral:lncRNA from 1 species